GAUGGUUUAAGACCCUUGAGUUAAAUUCCAUUGGUUGAUGGUUGACCUUAGUAAAGUUGUCCCAUAUCAGAAGGGCUAGGUAUCUUUCUUCGGAUCUAAAUGUUUCUAUUUUGAACCAGGCCAACUCCCUUGAGUUAUAGAUCUGAAAUUUAUGGAUAUGGGUAAUUAUGUUGGCCCAGUAUAUAUCUCUUAUUAGGGGAUAUC